rnacentral:rRNA from 1 species
UACGUAGGUGACCAGCGUUGUCCGGAUUUACUGGGCGUAAAGAGCGCGCAGGCGGUCGUUCAAGUCGAGUGUGAAAGCCCCCGGCUCAACUGGGGAGGGUCACUCGAUACUGAUCGACUUGAAGGCAGGAGAGGGAAGCGGAAUUCCCGGUGUAGUGGUGAAAUGCGUAGAUAUCUGGAGGAACACCGGUGGCGAAGGCGGCGUUCUGGACUGCAACUGACACUGAUGAACGAAAGCCAGGGGAGCAAACGGG